rnacentral:rRNA from 1 species
AACGAACGCUGGCGGCAGGCCUAACAACAGGGGAGCUUGCUCCCGCUGACGAGUGGCGCACGGGUGAGUAACGCGUGGAUACAUGCCUCGAUGUGGGGGACAACAGUUGGAAACGACUGCUAAUACCGCAUAAUCCCUGAGUGGGAAAGGCUUCGGCCGCAUUGAGAGUGGUCCGCGUCGGAUUAGCUAGUUGGUGGGGUAAUGGCCCACCAAGGCGACGAUCCGUAGCUGGUCUGAGAAGGUGACCAGCCACACUGGCACUGACACACGGCCCAGACUCCUACGGGAGGCAGCAGUGGGGAAUAUUGCGCAAUGGGGGAAACCCUGACGCAGCAAUGCCGCGUGAGUGAAGAAGGUCUUCGGAUUGUAAAGCUCUUUCAGCAGGGAAGAUAAUGACGGUACCUGCAGAAGAAGCCCCGGCUAACUCCGUGCCAGCAGCCGCGGUAAUACGGAGGGGGCAAGCGUUGUUCGGAAUCACUGGGCGUAAAGCGUACGUAGGCGGUUUUUUAAGUCAGAAGUGAAAGCCCCGGGCUCAACCUGGGAACUGCUUUUGAAACUGAGAGACUUGAGUUCGAGAGAGGUAAGUGGAAUUCCCAGUGUAGAGGUGAAAUUCGUAGAUAUUGGGAAGAACACCAGUGGCGAAGGCGGCUUACUGGCUCGAUACUGACGCUGAGGUGCGAAAGCGUGGGCAGCAAACAGGAUUAGAUACCCUGGGAGUCCACGCCGUAAACGAUGGUUGCUAGUUGUCAGCAAGUAUACUUGUUGGUGACGCAGCUAACGCAUUAAGCAUCCCGCCUGGGGAGUACGGUGGCAAGAUUAUAACUCAAAGGAAUUGACGGUGGCCCGCACAAGCGGUGGAGCAUGUGGUUUAAUUCGAAGCAACGCGCAGAACCUUACCAACCCUUGACAUACCUGUCGCGGUUGAGAGAUCCAUGGUUCCCUUCGGGGACCGGGACACAGGUGCUGCAUGGCUGUCGUCAGCUCGUGUCGUGAGAUGUUGGGUUAAGUCCCGCAACGAGCGCAACCCUCGCCCUUAGUUGCCAGCAUUCAGUUGGGCACUCUAGGGGGACUGCCGGUGAUAAGCCGCGAGGAAGGUGGGGAUGACGUCAAGUCCUCAUGGCCCUUACGGGCUGGGCUACACACGUGCUACAAUGGCGGUGACAAUGGGGUGCAACCUCGCGAGGGGGAGCUAAUCUCUAAAAACCGUCUCAGUUCGGAUUGUAUUCUGCAACUCGAAUACAUGAAGUUGGAAUCGCUAGUAAUCGUGGAUCAGCAUGCCACGGUGAAUACGUUCCCGGGCCUUGUACACACCGCCCGUCACACCAUGGGAGUUGGUUUUACCCGAAGGCAGUGCGCUAACCGUUCGGAGGCAGCUGACCACGGUAGGCUCAGCGACUGGGGUGAAGUCGUAACAAGGUAGCCGUAGGGGAACU